rnacentral:lncRNA from 7 species
AUUUUAAACUCUUUAUUGAAAAUAAGUUGCAGUUGGUACACAGACACUGAAAAUACAUCAUCACGGAUCGCUCUCUCAAAAGAUAUUUUUAUAUAUAUUUAUAUAUAUAUAUAUACAAAAGUUGUAAACAUUUUUAACUUAUUUCCAUACACAGUCCACUGUAUACUACAAUCCACGUAAGGUUAGUGACAACUGCAACUCGUGGAAGCGGUCUGCUUAUACAGAGGUAUCUGCAAAAGAACUUAAAUUUGCAAACCACAUUUGGUAUCGUUUUGUUAUUAAAACUUGUAAAGAAUCUGAUGUUUAAACACAUAUUGCAACGAAAUAGAGGCAGCUGAACUUGGGUUUCAAGUUGGUACAGUGAAGGCCAUGUCUGAGCCUCGUGGGGGGCGGGAGGUUGACACGCAGCUUCUAAAUGCAAUCUAGAAAAGCAUUAUGAAUAAAACAGAGUGGAUCUCGACUUGUCUGCUCUCCCCAGGAAGACAAAGAAGGCUGAAAGGAAGUCUGCAAAUAUACGCAGCUUUUAGAGAGAGGAAUAUUGAUUCUACACUUUUACUAAUGAAUAGACAACGAUCACAGUUGGUUUAAUUCUAUUCAACUGCUCUCAUGGCUGCAGUGUUGGCAUAGCCAGACCACA